UUCAGGCGACAACGCUGCCGGGAAAGAGCCGGUUCCGAGCAGCGAAACAGAAGGCGGCGUCAAUUCCUUCUCGUUACCGGCUGGUCUCCGAGUGAAGAUAGUGCCUUAGCGCGGACGAAGGGAGGUGCCCAGGGAACCGGAAGUCGGCCCGUUACAAUUGGAAUCUUGAGCCGGCCGGCUCGCGACCUCUUGAAGCAUGGCUGUUUGUAAUAUUCAGAUUGCAUGACACUCCUCAAGUUAGAUGCUGCCAGACCUGCUGAGUUUCUCCAGCAAUACGUGUUUUUGUGUUCUCAUUCUGGAUUCACUGAGCAAGGAAGCAGUGAAGCCUAUGCUUGAACUGUGUCAUUCACAAUCGUGAGGUACAUAAAGGGAGUUCGACGGUCACCUCAGCAAAUGCUAGUGGAAGGACCCCAAGAGAUCUCGUAACUCUUGAGAGUAGCAAAAACAUUGAGGAGAAUCAAAAUUAAUCAUGAAGAGCUCUGGCACAUCUUGGUUUGGACCCAGGAUAAAUGAAGCAAUCCUCAAGAUUCUGUAAUACUGGGGAGAACAUGUGUGGAAAUAAAAUGUUGAGUAUCCUACUGAGACUUUUGGGCUUAAAUAAUAAAGGUUUAC